rnacentral:tRNA from 1 species
GAUAAGGUGGCUGAGGAUAGGCGAUAGAUUGUAAAUCUAUUUAGGGGAUAAAACUCCCUUAUCA